rnacentral:rRNA from 1 species
GAUGAACGCUGGCGGCGUGCCUAAUACAUGCAAGUCGAGCGAAUGGAUUGAGAGCUUGCUCUUAUGAAGUUAGCGGCGGACGGGUGAGUAACACGUGGGUAACCUGCCCAUAAGACUGGGAUAACUCCGGGAAACCGGGGCUAAUACCGGAUAACAUUUUGAACCGCAUGGUUCGAAAUUGAAAGGCGGCUUCGGCUGUCACUUAUGGAUGGACCCGCGUCGCAUUACCUAGUUGGUGAGGUAACGGCUACCCAAGGCAACGAUGCGUAGCCGACCUGAGGGGGUGGUCGGCCACACUGGGACUGGGACCCGGCCCAGACUCCUACGGGAGGCAGCAGUAGGGAAUCUUCCGCAAUGGACGAAAGUCUGACGGAGCAACGCCGCGUGAGUGAUGAAGGCUUUCGGGUCGUAAAACUCUGUUGUUAGGGAAGAACAAGUGCUAGUUGAAUAAGCUGGCACCUUGACGGUACCUAACCAGAAAGCCACGGCUAACUACGUGCCAGCCGCCGCGGUAA